GGAAGGAUCAUUAUGCACAUCUUAAGUCCUCGCUCCGGGACUUUAAACCGGACGUACAAGCUCCUUUGACGAACUGGGUCUUUAGCACAGGGAAUUUCUCGAACGUUUUUGAAUCAAUUGCUCUGGGUUUCUGAAUUCGAUCAUGGAGGAUUGAACUGUCAUAGGGGUGUCUAUCCUAACACACCAAGGCUUCGAUCUCUUUUUCCCGGUUGUUUCUGCCGGUGCCCGGUUGUUUCUGCCGGUGUCGUGUUUUCCAGAACUUCCCGGUUUCCUCUGCCGGUGUCUUCCCGGUUUCCUCUGCCGGUGUCUUCCCGGUUUCCUCUGCCGGUGUCUUCCCGGUUUCCUCUGCCGGUGUCUUCCCGGUUUCCUCUGCCGGUGUCCUAAGUUCUGCCAAAAUACGUCGAAGCUGCCCUGGAGACCUGAACUCAAGAAGUGCCUAACAACAUAUCUAACAAAGAGUUCUCGUUUCCCGAAACUUGUCCCGUGACGGUUUCUAGGUCUUGUCCCGUGACGGACCUGUGUGAAGAUACAUUGCUUGCUGUUCUCCAAUGAAGGAUCUUAUUCUGGGGCGGGGGGAGACUUAUCGCUUGCAUUCUAUGUGAGCUUGAUUUGUCCUCCUUAUUGUAGGGUCUUUGUCGUUUGCACUUUGUGUGAACUUGACUGUCCUACUAGUAGGGUCUUUGUCGUUUGCACUUUGUGUGAACUUGACUGUCCUACUUCAUUGUUGUAGUGGUCUUUGUCGUUUGCACUUUGUGUGAACUUGACUGUCCUACUUCAAUGGUGGGGUCUUUGUCCUUUGCAUUCGUGUGAAGUUGACUGUCCCACUUAUCCUGCCUUACAAACUUCUUAUCCGGUUGAUUUGAUGCUAGUAGAGCUUUAGUACGGCCGAACGACUCUAGGCUAUUCUAAUUGUCUCGCCGCUUCUGACCAUGUUGCUGUUGUCCAUCCUCUCAUGGGGGACAAUGGCGUUAUUUACACAAACCAACGGAAGGAUAAGCUUCAGUGACUUUGACGUCGCGUCCUUGUGAUGUGUGUCUUUGUCGUUGUUGCCGGUCUUUUUGUUUAGUAUGUCUUAUUCUAACAAUCUGUAAUGGAUUGGGAGGACUCGCUUAACAGCUUGUUCUUUUAAUACAAAUUUGUACAACUCUGAGCAACGGAUGUCUAGGUUCUCGCAACGAUGAAGAACGCAGCAAACUGCGAUACGUAAUGCGAAUUGCAGAAUUCAGUGAAUCAUCAAAUCUUCGAACGCAACUUGCACUUCUGGGCUUGCUCAGGAGUACGUACUCUUCAGUGUCGAUUUUCUAUGUCACUCAGAGCGUGAUGGUGCCACCCCUUAAUUGGUGGAGGCGCUAUCGUUCAAACGUCUCUGGAACUUGUGAGUGUUCAUCUUGUGCCUCGGCGUUAGAUGUCACUUUAAAUAUACCCGUUUCAUCAUAUUGAAAACGGACGUUAGUGCCCGUUUCUGAUGUUAACUUUCGUAGCAUUUCUUUCCGGAAUGCCGUGAUUGAUGAGCGUCUCUAAUUGUUUCUUGUCUUUUCAGAACGAAUGGUCCUUCGGGAGUGUUCUAGUAUGGGGGGAUGCAGGAGCUUUGGAGUAGUCUAUUUCUUUCAUAUAUUCUGGGUGUCGUUUCUUGAAAUUAACGCCGUCGGGUGUAUUUCUUGAUUCGUAAAGGAAGCGGCGUUCGUUUGAGUGCAGAAACGCUAUGGGUGCUCUCCAUUAAUUUGGAGUGUUGUAACAUUAACGGAUAAGACCGUAUGUUAUAACGGCGUCUACGGUGAACUUGCUUAGAAGGACGAAAUAAACCGCAGGGUUUACUUUCUGUUCUAGAACUAUUAGACCUGAAGUGGUACGAGAACACCCGCUGAAUUUAAGCAUAUUAUUAAGCGGAGGAAAAGAAACUAACAAGGAUUCCCUCAGUAACGGCGAGUGAAGCGGGAAUAGCUCAAAGUUUAAAUCCUCAACCGUUAGGUUGCGGGAGUUGUAAUCUUAAGACGUGUGGUCAGCGUAUGACCCAGGUAUAACUCUUUUGGAAAAAGGGAUCAUAGAGGGUGACAAUCCCGUCUGUGACCUGGAGUUCAUCGCGUACGAUACACGUUCGAAGAGUCGCGUUGUUUGGGAGUACAGCGCUAAAUGGGUGGUAAACUUCAUCUAAAGCUAAAUAUUGGCGAGAGACCGAUAGCGAACAAGUAGCGUGAGCGAAAGAUGAAAAGAACUUUGAAAAGAGAGUUAAAAGUACCUGAAAUUGCUCAGAGGGAAGUUAUGAAAACCAGUCAUUUCCUGAGCUCUAUUAACUACUGUUGCUCUCGAAUGGAGUGGAGUGGCCAGAGUCGUCAAGACCUCGGUCGCUUGGCUCGAAUCUUGAGUCGGUGGGUCCAUGGAGUUUGGGACGUGUCAGAAUCAGUUCGAGUGGUCGGAGAAAGCUUAAAGGAAGGUGGGGAGCUUUGGGGUUCGCUUCAUCGUUCUCGUUAUAGCCUUUUCGCCAUACGACUGCUUGGACUGAGGAAAAGGUAAAGCGCCCUCUCUCGAGGAGGAUGUGACCCCGUUGCCUGCUCGGUUAGUUGGCGUGGACAGCAAAGCUGUGCUGCUGACGAAGCUGGUACUGUGACGGACUCUGUCAUUCGUGCUUUAGCGAUUCUGACGAAAUGGUUUUCAUUGACCCGUCUUGAAACACGGACCAAGGAGUCUAACAUAUAUGCGAGUAUUUGGGUGUUAAAACCCUGAUGCGUAAUGAAAGUGAAGGAGGUCUCGUACCUCUUAGGUAGGAACUCGUCUUCGGAUGGGUGGCACUAUCGACCGAUUCAUCACUUGUGAUGGAUUUGAGUAAGAGCAUAUCUGUUGGGACCCGAAAGAUGGUGAUCUAUGCCUGAACAGGGUGAAGCCAGGGGAAACUCUGGUGGAGGCUCGUAGCGAUACUGACGUGCAAAUCGUUCGUCUGAUUUGGGUAUAGGGGCGAAAGACUAAUCGAACCAUCUAGUAGCUGGUUCCCUC
rnacentral:misc_RNA from 1 species